UACGGAGGGGGCUAGCGUUAUUCGGAAUUAUUGGGCGUAAAGGGCGUGUAGGCGGCUUCGUGUGUCCCAUGUGAAAGCCCUCGGCUCAACCGGGGAACUGCAUGGGAAACUGCGGAGCUUGAGUCCGGGAGAGGUGAGUGGAAUUCCCAGUGUAGCGGUGAAAUGCGUAGAUAUUGGGAGGAACACCGGUGGCGAAGGCGGCUCACUGGACCGGUACUGGCGCUGAGACGCGAAAGCCAGGGGAGCAAACGGG
rnacentral:rRNA from 1 species